rnacentral:lncRNA from 1 species
UUUUUCUUUUUUUCCCAGCCAGAGUGUGUUUCUGAUGCCAGUCAUCUCUUCCUUCUGUGCCUACUUUGUGGAAGUCAAUUAUGGAAGAAAGAACAUCCCCUUCACAGUCUGCGCAGCCUCUCCCUGCCGUGCUCCUCUGCUUCGCACCGCUACAUGGGCCUGCUGUGCUGCUGCCCUGGACCUUGCCCCUGCCCCUGCCCAGCUCCAUCACCUUCACCAUCGUGGCAAUGCCCAGGAUGACGGCAGCAGGUGCCACCAGGAUGGGUGUCGGAGCCUCAUGGAGUACGUAGGAGGAAGAGCAGCCGCUGCCAUGCUCUUCUGUGGCUGUAUCAUGCUGGUGACCUGUUCCAUUCUCACCUUCUUAGCCCUCUGUGCAGCCCCGAUGCUAGUCCUCCUGAAAGUGAGUUGGAGGCCUCCUUGCCCUGGCUGCUGUGUGACAGAUCAUCUCCCUGGUAAUUAACCCUGUGAAGUAUACCGAUAGCUUCAACCUUCACGCCAACCCUGCCGUCACAUCACAUCUGUCACUGGCCCCAAUUAUCCUGAUUGGCUGUCCUUUCUCCUUCUGCUGCGGCCUGAAGGACGAAGACAACCUCCUGGGAGGCGCCAAGCCCUGGUACUUCCACAUCCGCCUGGUUGGGGAGGAGAACGGGAGAAGACCCUGCUGAGAAGGACUCCAGAGGAAGAAGCUGUUUCCCUAGGUGACUUCCAACCUAUUUUGGGGCAGUGUUCACAGUAUUAAACUAGUAGAAAAUGCUACAAUAAUUUGGGAGAAAAUAUUGUGUUACAAUUUCAUAUUCACUUUUUAUAUAUGUUCUUUGGAGCUGACGUGUUUGUUUUCACUAACCUUGUAUCUAUCCAUAACAGUUACAUUACAUUUAUAAGAGAAGAUGAACAUGAAACGUACCACUUUAUAAAGUAAAAAUGAAAAAGCCUCCAAGAUUUAAUAAACUGAUCACGUUUUUGUUAUUUCCAGAUAGAAUGGACUGUAUCUAUUAAGGGCUAAGGAGGAGAGAGACAUUGGUAAAAAUUGUCAGUGACCAAACGUUCUAAAAAGAAAUGCAAAACAAAAUAUUUUUUGUUAUUGAGCCUUCAAUUAUUUAAAGAUGCAAAAUGGUUUCCUAAAUACAUAUCAUUUGUAAGAAUUUCUCAUUAAUAUCUUGAAUAAUUCACCGUUUUUGCUAAGUUUCACGUUGACUUUACAUGCCAUUUAGGAAAUGAUUGUUUCGUGGCCAAAACAUGUUGCAGUGGUAAGGCUUUCUUAAACAGUAAAAUGUUUAGAUGAAAUUUUCUCUUUGAAAAUUCUCACAGGGUGAGGGUGUGGGAAAA